CGGGGAAUUUUGGACAAUGGGCGAAAGCCUGAUCCAGCAAUGCCGCGUGUGUGAAGAAGGCCUUCGGGUUGUAAAGCACUUUUGUCCGGAAAGAAAUCCUUGGCUCUAAUACAGUCGGGGGAUGACGGUACCGGAAGAAUAAGCACCGGCUAACUACGUGCCAGCAGCCGCGGUAAUACGUAGGGUGCAAGCGUUAAUCGGAAUUACUGGGCGUAAAGCGUGCGCAGGCGGUUUGCUAAGACCGAUGUGAAAUCCCCGGGCUCAACCUGGGAACUGCAUUGGUGACUGGCAGGCUAGAGUAUGGCAGAGGGGGGUAGAAUUCCACGUGUAGCAGUGAAAUGCGUAGAGAUGUGGAGGAAUACCGAUGGCGAAGGCAGCCCCCUGGGCCAAUACUGACGCUCAUGCACGAAAGCGUGGGGAGCAAAACAGGAUUAGAUACCCUGGUAGUCCACGCCCUAAACGAUGUCAACUAGUUGUUGGGGAUUCAUUUCCUUAGUAACGUAGCUAACGCGUGAAGUUGACCGCCUGGGGAGUACGGUCGCAAGAUUAAAACUCAAAUGAAUUGACGGGGUCAUAGCUGUUUCCU
rnacentral:rRNA from 1 species